rnacentral:rRNA from 1 species
GUGGGGGAUAUUGCACAAUGGGGGAAACCCUGAUGCAGCAACGCCGCGUGAAGGAAGAAGGUCUUCGGAUUGUAAACUUUUGUCUUUAGGGAAGAAUAGAUGACGGUACCUAAGGAGGAAGCCACGGCUAACUACGUGCCAGCAGCCGCGGUAAUACGUAGGUGGCAAGCGUUGUCCGGAUUUACUGGGUGUAAAGGGCGUGUAGACGGGACUGCAAGUCAGAUGUGAAAUUUAUGGGCUUAACCCAUAACCUGCAUUUGAAACUGUGGUUCUUGAGUGAUGGAGAGGUAAGCGGAAUUCCUAGUGUAGCGGUGAAAUGCGUAGAUAUUAGGAGGAACACCGGUGGCGAAGGCGGCUUACUGGACAUUAACUGACGUUGAGGCGCGAAAGUGUGGGGAGCAAACAGG